UAAGCAUUUUUCUGGGUUGGCCGAGAGAAAACUAAGUCAAGUGGAACAAGUCAAGGACUAUCUUCUCAGUAGGAACUGUGAGUGGAAGGGUUUCAAUUACAUGGAGCCGUGGAAGUAUUGGCCAUCAGACUUGGCAAACAGUGUAUGGAGGUGACACACCAUCUUGAACCAUGGA
rnacentral:lncRNA from 1 species